rnacentral:miRNA from 1 species
CUGGACUACGGGAACUCUC